UUCCUAGCCUCAGUUUCCCCAGCUGAGUAACCCAGGGUCUCAUUUACUCACACAAAUAUUUACUGGGCUCUGACUUAUGAAAACGCUGCCUUGUAGGGCUGUUUCAAGUGACCAGAGACAGUGAGUGUAAGAGUACUUUGUACCUAGACGUGCCCCCGCCACUCUCCUCCCAUGCUUUGGGGGAUCUGUUCUUGGUCUCUGGGCUGCACCUGGCUUCAUAGGUCACGGUCAUUCUCUAGGAACCCAGAACCCAGGAUGAGAUAGUCUGGCGAGUUAUUUUCCAACUUCUACUUGGAGGCAGUGACAGGCAGAGGGACACCGUCUCUAGGCCUGCGUGUGGGUCCCCCCUCCCUUCUCAGCGGUAUGACCCAACCCGAUCACUUUUCCACCCCCACCCCCGGACCCUUACUUUCUUUCUCUGUACAAGGGGGAUAAUCCUCCCUGCCCUGCCAAACCUCACGCCUUUUUUCUGACCCGACCCAAGCCUCAGAUAAGGAAAAGGAUGGAAAAAGCCCUUCCUAAACGGCCAGGAGGCCACAAACAUCCCCAAGCCAGUGCGUGCUAUUUUCCACAAUAAGCCGGAGGAGGCUACGGCUCUUUUGAGUUGGGUCAAGGCUGGGGAUGACUGGGGACCGUCAGGAAAGCAAGAAUGCUCCGGUUCCUUUUAUUGCUUCAAAUCUUAGUCACCAGGAAGCCGCCCCAUGAAACGUACAAGCCUCGUAUCAUUUACUCGUCUUGAAUUAAUUAAGAAGCCCGGUAUGGGGACAAUUAGAGAAACCCUAGGCUGAUGACAUCGCCUCGUGAUGGAAUUUGUUCCUGCGUCCACUUUGCCUCUUGCGCAUUCCUGCUGAUACCGGCAGGUUUAUUUUUCUCGAGACCAAGCAUCUUGGACGUGGCGCGGGGCCUCACCGGAGACUCUGCACACAUCUGGGGACACGCACGGCCCGGGAGGGCCGGGUUGAGGGUCACGCCGAUAUGCAUCUGUUUCCUCGGCCGGUGUGUCUUACUUUUCUGUUUUAAUUUCCUUUUCACCCAACCUCUCCUGCCCUGCCCCACCCUGGCCGACGUCCCUGUCUUUUGUUUGGAAAUUCCACUGGGACCAAGCAUUCUAAAUCCCCAAACAUCUAAAGCAAACAUCCUAGGGUGGCAUCGCUCUGAGGCCGACAUGCGAAGGGCGCCGUCCGAAGGUCCGCAAGCCGUGCGAGGCCCACAGUUGACUCCGAGACCCGCCUGUGGACCGGGAAGGGACACACGGCUAGCCACAGACCGGCCUGCUCACCAUAAUCACGCCGAAUGUCUUGAGCCAAAGGCGUAAACACAGCCAACUUUGGCCCAGCAGAGAGAUUUGAACGGAGCCCUCCCAGCGGCACAGGACAAAUACGUCUUCUGAGGGACGACGCGCCCAGAUUUGCUGACCGGAGCAUCCGUGUUAUUGGAGGAAAGCCCGGGAGAGCCAAGUGUCACCUCGAACGUGCUGAAUCUAGCUCCGCUCUUACAAGGGGACCUGGGCUUUGUCACUGGAUUAUUUUCUGCCAGCUGCCACCCACGAAUAAGCAAACAAUGGCUCAUCGAGCGCAUUCUCCCACGGCAGGCUCCUCAGCCGGCCAGACACCAGCCUCAGCGUGUUCCUCAACCAUGUGCCAGACGUGCCCAGAGAGGUUUGCCCACCACCAGUGGACACCCUGUGGGCCCGUGCUGGGAUCCUUCCUGCUCACGCGUGACACUUGGCAGAAUGUCCUUGGUUCAUAUUAAGCACGGUAUUAAA